rnacentral:rRNA from 1 species
ACGCUCGACACCUACGGGGGGCAGCAGUGGGGAAUAUUGCACAAUGGAGGAAACUCUGAUGCAGCGAUGCCGCGUGAGGGAAGAAGGUUUUCGGAUUGUAAACCUCUGUCUUUGGGGACGAUAAUGACGGUACCCAAGGAGGAAGCUCCGGCUAACUACGUGCCUGCAGCCGCGGUAAUCUGAGCGGGCUGGCAAGGC